AUGGCCACCGCAGGAUGUCGCGCGUUCACCCCGGAGCUCCGCAACGUCAUCUGGCCAAGCAAGUUCAAGCCUGACCUGCCCCCACACUACGACGGCACCGCCGACCCCGCCGAGUUCCUGCAGCUCUACGAGCUGAGCAUCAAGGCGGCCAGCAGCGACGAGAAGAUCAUGGCGAACCGGUUCCCUAUGGCUCUCAAGGAUGGCGCGCGUUCUUGGCUCCUGAACCUCCCCGAGGGAUCGGUCUCUUCCUGGGAGGAUAUGCGCGACCGCUUCAUCGCCAACUUCCAGGGCACUCGCAAUCGUCCGCCGGCCACGGGUGACCUGCGUCGCAUCAAGCAGCAGCCAGGAGAGACCCUACAGAAGGAUAUCCAGCGCUUCAACAACGUUUGA
rnacentral:rRNA from 1 species